AUGCUCAUUUUGGCAGCACAUAUACUAAAACUGGAACGAUACAGAGAAGAUUAGCAUGACCCCUGAACAAGGAUAACACGCAAAUUUGUGAAGCAUUCCAUAUAAAG